UUAACACUUCGUGUUAGCUUAGCAUAGAUGUGACUAGCACAUAUUAAGCCGAUUUCUGAACAACGGAUGUGAAGGCGGAGCUUGCUCUAUUCACUCCAUGCAUUGACCCAGUAUUGCAGUGUUUCUGGGAACAGUGC
rnacentral:snRNA from 1 species